rnacentral:rRNA from 1 species
UACGUAGGGAGCAAGCGUUGUCCGGAAUCAUUGGGCGUAAAGCGCGCGUAGGCGGCCCUGUAAGUCCGUUGUGAAAGUCCAAGGCUCAACCUUUGAAAGCCGAUGGAUACUGCAGGGCUAGAGUCCGGAAGAGGCGAGUGGAAUUCCUGGUGUAGCGGUGAAAUGCGCAGAUAUCAGGAGGAACACCGGUGGCGAAGGCGGGUCUCUGGGCCGUAACUGACGCUGAGGAGCGAAAGCAUGGGGAGCGAACAGG